GUUGUGGAACACUCUUUUUUUUACAACCAUGGAAUCCUGACAUUCAGUUUGGGAAGUAUAGGGUCAAUGUCAGGAAAUGAGUUGAGUCAGUACAGGCUUUGGGUGGAUUAAAUGUCCUAUAUGAUGUCACUAUGAGGCACCAGGAAGCUAGGGAUGAGUGCUUGUGCAUCAAAACACAGAAGAGGCAUCACCGUGAUCGCACCGUGCAGUGAGGGAC